rnacentral:rRNA from 1 species
GACGAACGCUGGCGGCAUGCCUAACACAUGCAAGUCUAGGGGUAGCAAUACCACUGGCGCACGGGUGAGUAACACGUAGGUUAUCUGCCCCCAUCACAGACAUAACCCCGGGAAACCGGGGCUAAUAUCUGAUGAGGUCGCGAGAUCAAAGCUUCGGCGGAUGGGGAUGAGCCUGCGGCUGAUUAGCUAGUUGGUGAGGUAAUGGCUCACCAAGGCGACGAUCAGUAGCUGGUCUGAGAGGACGAACAGCCACACUGGAACUGAGACACGGUCCAGACUCCUACGGGAGGCAGCAGUGAGGAAUAUUGGUCAAUGGGAGCAAUCCUGAACCAGCAAAUGCCGCGUGUGGGAUGACAGGGCUUCGCCUUGUAAACCACUGUCGGACGGGACGAAAGGAGGCCUCGGGCCUCUGGGACGUACCGUCAAAGGAAGGGUCGGCUAAACUACGUGCCAGCAGCCGCGGUAAU